CCCUUACAAAUGAUGAAUUAGACAUUUUACUUUCUUCCCGUUCUCCCUUUCAAUCAACUGAAACAAGAAUGCUCAAAAAAAUAAAUAAAAAAAUAAAAAAAAAUUGACUGAAACAAGAGAAACUCUUUCUCUCCUAUGAAAUUAAAUCCACCUCCGCCGAAACUCUUCUCACUCAAUUCGAUUGAAAGGGAUAGAUACAUGCAAAGA
rnacentral:lncRNA from 1 species